CGGGCGGCCGUGACCCUGCUGGAGUGCGGGGGGGACCUCCAGCCCCCCGGGGGGUCCCUGCGCCUCCUCUGCCGAGGGGCCGGGUUCAGUUUUGGGAGUUUUGCCAUGCAAUGGGUCCGCCAGAGACCCGGGCAGCGGCUGGAGUGGCUCGCGGGGAUCAGCAGCCCUGGUUCUUACACCGAGUACGCGCCGUCGGUCAAGGGCCGGUUCACGAUCUCCAGGGACAACGGGCAGAGCUCGGUGACGCUGACCAUGAACAACCUCAAGGACGAGGAUUCCGGAUCCUAUUUCUGUGGCAAGGGUUCUCAAACUGGUUGGGCUGAAAGUGCCGCUUUUAGUGACGAUGCCCAAGCUGUCCCCAUCCCCAUCCCCGUGUCCCCCUCUGUCCCCAUUCCCCAGACCCUUCCCCCAGACCCCCAGCCCACACCCAGCCCUUGGCCAUUGAUCCCAACCUUGCUCUGCCUCGGCCCCAAUUCUCACCCGCUGACCCCAAACCACAACUCCUGA